GAAGUAUACCCCACAUCACCUGAUACUGCCGGAGAAGUAUACCACCAUUCAGUCACCUGAUACUGCCAGAGAAGUAUACACCACCAACCUGAUAUUGCCGGAGAAGUAUACCCCACAUCACCUGAUAUUGCCGGAGAAGUAUACCCCACAUCACCUGAUAUUGCCGGAGAAGUAUACCCCACAUCACCUGAUAUUGCCGGAGAAGUAUACCCCACCAACAGAGUUGUUACAUCUGGGCUUUUAGCAAUCCCAACUUUGAAUUCCUGUGCAGUGAAAAUUUUCCAUUCUUCAACCCAGUACAAACACAAGCUGUGAGUGACAGCAUUGGUAGUCCAGUGUGGAUGAGUAAUUUCCUGUCAACAUUCAUCCAAUUGUUAACUCAAAUUUGAAGAAGAAAAAAAUGGAGAGAAGGGCUGGGAAAUGGAGAGAAGAGCUGGUGACGUUGUAGAAAAAGUUGCCCAACAGCCUGCUGCAGGUGCAGCAAAGGAUGCUUUUAGCAAAGAGAUGUAGGAUGUGGCGCAAGUAGAAACUGACCAGGCAGCGAAGCAUUCUUGUGUAGAUGAUGACAAUGACUGCAUCUACAAAAUACUACAAAAUGAAGAAAAAAGGUCAACACAGUCAUCAUCAACACUCUGUACAGAACUGCUGUCAAAACAUGGAAAAAAACAGUUUCCAUGCCAAACUAGAACUGGAAUGUCAUGUGCAGUAGACACGGCUUGGCACAAAAGGAGAUUUAACAGUUUAACAUGUAAACUCUAAUUCUGUAGUGUUAUCCAGCCUAUUCAGCUCAAUGGAGGAGAGUAUAUUUAUCUAGGAGUUUGUCACGAGGAUACAGUUGAUGUUGAGAAGCUGCCAGAUCCUGUUUCAAGAGGGGAGUUCAAGCCUGUAACCCUGGUUCCUGGAGAGCCAACAUUCAUUACAUUUGAUCUGGAAACUACCAACCUCAUUAGAGGCAGACAGUUUCCUCAUAUCACACUGAUAGCUGCUGCAGAGCUGAACAGCCGGACAGUUUCCUCAUAUCACACUGAUAUCUGCUGCAGAGCUGAACAGCCGGACAGUUUCCUCAUAUCACACUGAUAUCUGCUGCAGAGCUGAACAGCCGGACAGUUUCCUCAUAUCACACUGAUAGCUGCUGCAGAGCUGAACAGCCGGACAGUUUCCUCAUAUCACACUGAUAGCUGCUGCAGAGCUGAACAGCCGGACAGUUUCCUCAUAUCACACUGAUAUCUGCUGCAGAGCUGAACAGCCGGACAGUUUCCUCAUAUCACACUGAUAGCUGCUGCAGAGCUGAACAGUCGGACAGUUUCCUCAUAUCACACUGAUAGCUGCUGCAGAGCUGAACAGUGGACAUUCCUUCAAUACAUACGUUUUACCUAAAACACUGAUCACGUCAACAGCCCAACAAGUUACUGGAAUUGUAAUGUCAGGUAGUAACUCUAUGUCAGUAAAUGGAAUGCCAGUGGAAGCGGAAUUUAUAACUACAUCACUGGAAAAGUUCUGUAAAUGGCUAGAACAGUCUGGUGUUUUAAAAGAGUAAGAAAUGUUAAAAAAUGAUGUGUCUUGAUCUGUAUGUCAAGUUUUAUGCUUUGAUUUGGUUAUCUAUUUUGAACUCUUAGAACAUAUUAUUAUAUGUAUAUGAACAUUUUACUUUAUUAAAAUUUAUUUAUUGACAUUCAUUUUUAUGUACAAGUGUUACCAGGUAUAUGCAUUUUUUAUAAAUAGAAGUAAAGAAAAUGGGAGUUCUUUGUUUUAAAAUCCUGUGAAUUUAGGUUUUACAGUAUAAAGCUUUUGUUUACAUUUUACCCCUACUCUAAAACAAGAUAUUUAUAGAAAAUCAGAUGGUAAAAAGUAGAUAAUUCUUUGUGUAUUUGUUUCACACAAUGAUACAAAUAAUUUGUAUUUAGUUACUACACAUUUAUCAUUUAUAACUUUUAAAAAAAAAAAAAAGUUGAGACCAGAAUUUUUUCCUGAAAAUUGCAAACUUUACGACUGGGGGUAUAGGAAAAAAGUAUUUCAAAUAAAUUCUUGUACAAAUGUAUAUCACAAAUCUUCAUAAUUAUUAUGUAUUUAUUAUGUCUCCCACCACACAGUGGUAUGGGAGACAUAUUGAUUUACUCAAGUCUGUCUGUCUGUCACAGAGCUUGUCCGCACUCUAAGUCGAACAUUUCUCAUCUGAUCUUCACCGAACUUCAACAAAAUGUGUCUGCCCAUAAGUGCUCAGCCAAGUUCGAUAACUGACCAAAUCAGCCUGGUAGUUUAGGCAUCCUUUUGGUGUCAAGAAAGCGCAUGGACAUGUGGAUUAAGUAAACAGUAUAUAAAGGCUCACUUACUAUUAGAUGAUUAGGCAGUUGUGGGAGACAUGUGUUUUUCUCAAAAGCAUCUCUAGUUCAACAUUGUUUAAGUAGUGAACUAAUACUGAAACUGUUGUAUUUUGAUGAAUUUGAAAAAAAAUAAUAAGAAUUUCACAUGUUUAUUUCAUUUUUUCAGUCAAAUUGGCAUAUAAGGAGUUGUGCUCUUUAUGAUUUUAUAAUUUUUUUUUUUGAAUGGUUAAAAUCAAAAUUUUAGAAAUAAUUCACCCAAGUGAUAUAGAUGAUAAAAAAUAAAAAGCUUGGUCAGAUUUGAAAUGUGACCAUUUAGGGUCAUAAAUCCUUCAUUAACUCAUUUUGGAUGUGUCUGUACACGAUGCUGUGUGGAACCUAUGUCACUGUUGCAAACAGUGUCCUCCAACCUGCCCUUCCAUGAUUCUAGCUACUUGUGAACAAGUGGCAAUAUGAGUGUUUGUAAACUGUCCAGUCAGUUUUCUGAAAACUUUAAAUUACAUUUCUUGUUUAUUUUGCAACAGUACAUUUUAUAGCUUUAAAUUGUGCGAACUAUAGCAAAAAAUGAUUUUGGGCACAAACUUUCAAGUAAAACAACAUUAAAAACAAAAAUUGCAUGUGUCAAGAGUAUAAACAUCAUUAAAACCUGUAUUAUUUGUCAGAAAUAACUGUUGAAGUCUCCUGAAUUUUUUUUUUCAGUUUGUAAUCAGCAAAAGGUGAAAGCUCUUUACUAGUGAUCUCUGUGUAACUAAGUUCUCUUAUGUACAUUGAUAUGAGCUUUCCAAGUUCUAGCUGCCAAGUCUUGAAAUUUUGAAAUCGAGUUAUUUCAGUAAUAAUGAACUUGUCCAUCUUUCAAUAUGGACAGUAAGUAUUGUAAAUGGUUUAUUUCCUGAUGCUCUCAAAGAGGCUUAUGUUCUUCCAAUAUUCAAAGGUGGGGAUAAAGAAGACCCAAAUAACUACAGGCCAAUAUCUAUUUUGCCUAAAAUUUCCAUUUCUUCUUAAAGAAAACUUAACAUCAUUCACAAAACUCAAUCAGGAUUAAUAUCAUACAGACUAACUACCGGUAGACUAACAGAAGCAUGGCUUUCAAAUAUAGAUUCUGGUAAAUAUGUUGGAACUGAUUUAUGUUUUUAGAUCUAUGAAAAGCUUUUGAUCUUGGUGACUAUAACAUUUUAUUGCAUAAAUUGAAACUAUCAUGUUUAGAUAAAAGUUUUGAAUUUUUCAAAUCAUAUCUAUGAAACAACUCAAAUGAUAAAAGCGAGAAACUCCAAAUCUAAAAGUAUGCUUGUAACCUCUGGAGUUUCUCAAGGUUCAAUUCUUGACCCACUUUUAUUCUUUCUAUAUAUCAAUGAUAUCGCUUUAACUUCAGAGUGGCAAUAUAGACUCUAUGCAGAUGACUCUACUAAAAAUCAGAUUAUGAUUUAGAUAAAGUGCAAACUAAACUCCAGCUGAAUUUAGAUGUUGUGCAACAAUGGUGCAAUUUAAACAAUAUGUGUCACUUCAUCCAAAGAAAACAAAAUGCAUGGUUUUGUUUACUAAACAAAAAAGUAACAGUUGUAAGAACUAAUUUUUUGUAUUUCCAAGCAAGUAACAUAAAAUGUCAAGGUGCAGAAAUUACGUGGUGUUUAUAUAGACAACACAUUGUCAUGUAAUGUUUAAAUUGAAACAGUUUGCACUAAACUUGACUCAAAAAUAGCAUUGUUGAGACGUAUAUUGUACUAUAUGACAGAUGAAAUGGAAAAAAUUAUUCUAUAAUGCAUAUGUAAUGUCAAUAUUUGAUUAUUGUUGUAUUGUAUGUCGUCAAGAAAAUAAGAGUUCUUUAACAUGUUUAAAGAAAAUAAUGAAAAUUUAAGAUUUAUAUAUAUAUAUUAUAUAUACAUAGUCAAAGAAAAAAUAUUUGUGAAAUUUUAGAGAGUAAUGUUCUGAAUUACUUAUCAUAGCCAGAAGUCAAGAAUUUAAUUAUUGGUGAAUUUUUUUUAACUUUUUCUACAGUUUGAAUGGAAAUGCUUCAGAAUCUAUUUUCUUCUUUGCUGAAAUCUGGACGUCUAUUUGUCAGUUGUGUUUCAAGUGUUAUAGAUGAUGGGAAAAAAUAGAUCCUGUUUUGCCAAAUAUAGAAUUAAUGCUCAUUAACUAGAAAUAGAAGUAGGCAGAUACAGUAAAACUCCUUAGUGUAAAAACUUUUCGCUACUAUCAGAUUCUGGUAUGAACAAACUUAUAUCUCUUCUAAGUAAUGAUGUGUCCAUUUUAUACCUGUUAGCUAGAUUUAUAUAUGACUGUUUUUGUCUUAGAUAUAGCAAUGAAUCCUAUUAAAUCAUUCCAUUCUCAUAGUUUUUCUCAUGUCUUUAAUGUAUAUGAUUCCUUGAUAUUACUAGCCAUUAUGUAAUAUUGUACUAGUCAUAAUAUUAUAUUCUGUUCUAUAACUAGUCAUAAUAUUAUAUUACAAUUUUCUGCCAGUAUUACAUUACUGUUUAUUAUUACUAUUAUAUUUUUUUUUUUGUUGAUUUGUAGUGUUUGAAACUUUGUGUAUAUAUCAAAAUUGUCAUGCCCGAGAGGGCCCGAAACUGAAAAUAAAAGAUAUUCUAAACUAUGAAAAACUGAAGGCCUAUCAAGGGUUACAAAUGUAAAGAGGAUACUGGAGGUAGAUGUACCACCAAAACCACUGAUUACAUGAACUGAAGUGGGUGGAGUACGGGACAGAUGACAGUUUCAUUUCACAAAUUUCAAAAUCAGAACAAUAAUGUUCUUCUCUUGAUGUUUUUUUUUUUUUUUUUUUUUUUUUUAACUUACUUUACUUGUGGCACUGCUUUCAUUUUAAUUCUCUUCUUAUCCAAUUAGUUAUGUAUAAUUCAUAUGACAAUUUUGUCAAAAAAAAAAUUUUUCUUCUUAUUUGUUAUUGUUUUUUCUUUCUUAUUCAUUUUUAUCUCCCUUUAUGUCUUAUCAAUAAGUGUAACAGACUUGCAAUGCUCGCAUUUUUAUAUCAAGUGUUAUUAUGUUUACUUUAGUCUAUAUCUGUUAUUACAUAUGUGACAUAAUAACAAUAUUGUUUCCUUAAAUGUAAUCCAACGCUUUCCCGUAUUUUUCUCACAAAAGAGUUUUUAGGGUUUUAGUGCGCGGAUUACAAAUAACGUUUAUUCUUUCACCACUUGUACAUAAUUUUAUCUUAUCUUAAUCUCUGUUCAUUGUACUACAUAAGAAUUAAUUUGUUCAUAAUACAUUAUUUUUAUUCAUGUCUU
rnacentral:lncRNA from 1 species